rnacentral:rRNA from 1 species
GAUGAACGCUAGCUACAGGCUUAACACAUGCAAGUCGAGGGGAAACGAUAGAGAAAGCUUGCUUUUUCUAGGCGUCGACCGGCGCACGGGUGAGUAACGCGUAUCCAACCUGCCCAUCACUUGGGGAUAACCUUGCGAAAGUAAGACUAAUACCCAAUGACGUCUCUAGAAGACAUCUGAAAGGGAUUAAAGAUUUAUCGGUGAUGGAUGGGGAUGCGUCUGAUUAGCUUGUUGGCGGGGUAACGGCCCACCAAGGCGACGAUCAGUAGGGGUUCUGAGAGGAAGGUCCCCCACAUUGGAACUGAGACACGGUCCAAACGCCUACGGGAGGCAGCAGUGAGGAAUAUUGUUCAAUGGACGAGAGUCUGAACCAGCCAAGUAGCGUGCAGGAUGACGGCCCUAUGGGUUGUAAACUGCUUUUAUAAGGGAAUAAAGUGAGAGUCGUGACUCUUUUUGCAUGUACCUUAUGAAUAAGGACCGGCUAAUUCCGUGCCAGCCGCCGCGGUAA